rnacentral:rRNA from 1 species
GACGAACGCUGGCGGCGUGCUUAACACAUGCAAGUCGAACGGAAAGGCCCUGCUUUUGUUGGGUGCUCGAGUGGCGAACGGGUGAGUAACACGUGAGUAACCUGCCCUUGACUUUGGGAUAACUUCAGGAAACUGGGGCUAAUACCGGAUAGGAUCUCCUGCUGCAUGGUGUGGGUUGGAAAGUUUCGGCGGUUGGGGAUGGACUCGCGGCUUAUCAGCUUGUUGGUGUGGUAGUGGCUUACCAAGGCUUUGACGGGUAGCCGGCCUGGGAGGGUGACCGGCCACAUUGGGACUGAGAGACGGCCCAGAAUGCUACGGGAGGCAGCAGUGGGGAAUAUUGCACAGUGGGCGGAAGCCUGAUGCAGCAACGCCGCGUGCGGGAUGACGGCCUUCGGGUUGUAAACCGCUUUCGACUGUGACGAAGAGUGAGUGACGGUAAUGGGUAAAGAAGCACCGGCUAACUACGUG